GCAGCUAUCUACUAACUGGUUAGGUAAUAUGCCUCUCAAGCAUAAAAUACGGGUUCGAGUCCCGUUAGCUGUA
rnacentral:tRNA from 2 species